rnacentral:rRNA from 1 species
UACAGAGGGUGCAAGCGUUGUUCGGAAUUAUUGGGCGUAAAGGGCGCGUAGGCGGUGCGGUAAGUCUGUAGUGAAAUCUCUGGGCUCAACUCAUAGUCUGCAUCGGAAACUGCCGGGCUUGAGUGUGGGAGAGGUGAGUGGAAUUCCUGGUGUAGCGGUGAAAUGCGUAGAUAUCAGGAGGAACACCUGUGGCGAAAGCGGCUCACUGGACCAUAACUGACGCUGAUGCACGAAAGCUAGGGGAGCAAACAGG